AUGCACACACACGGAGCCCCCCGCUACCCCGCGCCCGGGGGCAGAUGCGAGAGACACGGCGUGGAGGCAGAGGCUCGAGCGCGGGGGGACCCGACACGAAGGCAGACCCGGGGGAGGGACAGAAAGGAAGGGACGGGGGCAGGGGGCGGACGGGGGCGCGGGGACAGGCGGCCGGACAAAAAGGAGGCAGGAGCCGCGGCUCGCGGGCGGGGCGGGGGGAGCGGGGGAGAGGGGGAGCCGGGGGAGCCGGGGGAGCCGGGGGAGCGGGGAGCCGGGGGAGCCGGGGGAGCGGGGAGCCGGGGGAGCGCGCCCCGCGGCCGAGCUCCGAGCGCUGCCCCCGCGCCCCGGCCCGCCCUGCGCUCGGUGCCCCGGGGCCGCCGGAGCGUCCGGGAGCCGGUCCGGCCGGGACUUACCGCGCGCGGGGCGCCGCCGGGUCCUGCGGAGCUGGGUGCGGGGCGCGCGGGGGCGCGCGGGGCGCACGGGGCGCGGGGCGCGGGGCGCGGGGGGCGGCGCCCCCGGGGGCUCGGGCGGCGGCCGGCGGCGCUGGGGCGGCCCCGCGAGGCUGGGCUGGCUGCGCUGCGCUGUCUGCGGCCCCGGGCGGGCGCGCGGUGCGGGGGAGCGGCGAGCCGAGCGGCUCCGACGUCAGGGGUGUCUCCGCUCCAAAUAGGGAGCGAGGGCGGGGGCAGCGGAGGGAGGGCCGCGCCGGAGAAAGGGCGGGCGCACGGCCGCUCCCUCCGGGCCGCGGGAGGGGGCGCCCCGGCCCCGGCCCCGGCCCCGGCCCCGGCCCCGGCCCCGCCCGACGGCGCGCCCGAGCCCCGCGGAGCCCCCGCCGGCCUCCCAGCGCCGGGCCCCGGUGACAAAGGCGGGGGCGGCCCCUCCGCGCGGCCCCGCGGCGCUCCCAGCCUGCCCGCCCUCGGGCGCGACCCGGGUCCCCGCGGGGCCCGGCCGCCGGGACGCCGCCGCCCCUCGCCCUCCGCCCGGCCUCCCCCCGCCCCGGCGCCGGUCCCAGCGUCCAAGCGUCCGGAGAAGCGCGCGCGAGCCCCGGAAGGACUCUGGACCCCGACUCCCUCGUCCCGGCCCCCGGGGAGGGCGGAGCGCAGGCCCCCGCGGCCCAGCUGCUCGGGCGCGCUCGAGGGUGGCCCUUGUGCCCCCUCGGCUCCGGGUGCUCUCGGGGGAAGGAGGACACGGCUCCGCUCCUGCAGAGGAGGAGCCCCGGACACAGUCGUGGGACCUGGAGAUUUUGCCCUCAGAGCUGUGCACGGCCCUGGAUUUCACCCCGGCCUGCCUGGAAGCUCCCGCCCGGGGACCUAUGUCACAGGUGGCUGA
rnacentral:lncRNA from 1 species